rnacentral:rRNA from 1 species
GAUGAACGCUGGCGGCGUGCCUAAUACAUGCAAGUCGAGCGAACAGACGAGGAGCUUGCUCCUUUGACGUUAGCGGCGGACGGGUGAGUAACACGUGGGUAACCUACCUAUAAGACUGGGAUAACUUCGGGAAACCGGAGCUAAUACCGGAUAAUAUUUCGAACCGCAUGGUUCGAUAGUGAAAGAUGGCUCUGCUAUCACUUAUAGAUGGACCUGCGCCGUAUUAGCUAGUUGGUAAGGUAACGGCUUACCAAGGCAACGAUACGUAGCCGACCUGAGAGGGUGAUCAGCCACACUGGAACUGAGACACGGUCCAGACUCCUACGGGAGGCAGCAGUAGGGAAUAUUCCGCAAUGGGCGAAAGCCUGACGGAGCAACGCCGCGUGAGUGAUGAAGGUCUUCGGAUCGUAAAACUCUGUUAUUAGGGAAGAACAAACGUGUAAGUAACUGUGCACGUCUUGACGUUACCUAAUCAGAAAGCCACGGCUAACUACGUG